rnacentral:rRNA from 1 species
AUACAUGCAGUCGAGCGGACCUUUUAAAGCUUGCUUUUGAAAGGUCAGCGGCGGACGGGUGAGUAACACGUGGGCAACCUGCCUGUAAGACUGGGAUAACUUCGGGAAACCGGAGCUAAUACCGGAUAAUAUAAAGAACCUCCUGGUUCUUUAUUGAAAGAUGGUUUCGGCUAUCACUUACAGAUGGGCCCGCGGCGCAUUAGCUAGUUGGUGAGGUAAUGGCUCACCAAGGCGACGAUGCGUAGCCGACCUGAGAGGGUGAUCGGCCACACUGGGACUGAGACACGGCCCAGACUCCUACGGGAGGCAGCAGUAGGGAAUCUUCCACAAUGGACGAAAGUCUGAUGGAGCAACGCCGCGUGAGCGAUGAAGGCCUUCGGGUCGUAAAGCUCUGUUGUUAGGGAAGAACAAGUGCGAGAGUAACUGCUCGCACCUUGACGGUACCUAACCAGAAAGCCACGGCUAACUACGUGCCAGCAGCCGCGGUAAUACGUAGGUGGCAAGCGUUGUCCGGAAUUAUUGGGCGUAAAGCGCGCGCAGGUGGUCCUUUAAGUCUGAUGUGAAAGCCCACGGCUCAACCGUGGAGGGUCAUUGGAAA